UACGAAGGGGGCUAGCGUUGCUCGGAAUCACUGGGCGUAAAGGGUGCGUAGGCGGGUCUUUAAGUCAGGGGUGAAAUCCUGGAGCUCAACUCCAGAACUGCCUUUGAUACUGAGGAUCUUGAGUCCGGGAGAGGUGAGUGGAACUGCGAGUGUAGAGGUGAAAUUCGUAGAUAUUCGCAAGAACACCAGUGGCGAAGGCGGCUCACUGGCCCGGUACUGACGCUGAGGUGCGAGAGCGUGGGGAGCAAACAGG
rnacentral:rRNA from 1 species